ACUCUCUCGAAUCCAAACUGUCCAUUACGUAAUGUCGUUUUAUAUCACAUCGCAUGCCAAGGUCUAACAUUGUUAAAGAGAACACAAACAUCUCAAGCGGAGAACUGGGAGAAACGGGAGAAAGUGGUGAACACUAUACGCCACAUGCCCUCCUCCCUCCUCGCUUGGUCCUCCUCCCCUCGCUCACAGUCUCUCCCUCCCUCCCCUCCCGCUCUGUGACGGAGAGAAUGCCCGUGUUGUACUGACAGAAACGUUACGGGCUUAGCAGGCAUGGAGGCCCGAUUAAUGAGAGAGGCCCAUUCCGACACGUCCAAGCUCGACUAACACUGUCCCGGAGAAGGAUUCCGGCGACAUUCUGGGAUACGACGGAUAAUUACCGCUGUACAGAAAAAGAAGGAGUGGGAGAAGAAAUACAGGGAGAGAUCCAUUUCGGGUCUCUGUUGAUUCAACGCAGCCGCCAUUUUGUUGACACACUUGCAACAAAAAUACUGUGGCGACCAUGUUGAUACACAAGAAGGGAGGAUUUUGAUCCAAAUUAUGUGAGCUCCGUUUUUGGACCGCUAUUAAGAUUGAAGGUGAGAGGGCUGGCCAGCCAGGAAAGGGACAACUGCACCACUGCCAGGAGAGGAUUGCUUUUUCAGAUCUCUCUCUCAACCCCCCUUUCCCCUUCCCCUUUACUCCCCCUCCCUCCUCCUGCUGAACCUUUGCCUCCCUCCCCAGCACCAGUGACAGAACUCUUGACCUGACGGCCGCACCUACCAUUUCCCCCACAUAACACCCCCCCUCCCCAUA